rnacentral:lncRNA from 1 species
AUGCCCAAGAGAAAGGCUGAAGGAGAUGCUAAAGGAGAUAAAGCCAAGGUGAAGGACGAACCGCAGAGAAGAUCCGCUAGGUUGUCUGCUAAACCUGCUCCUCCAAAGCCAGAGCCCAAGCCUAAAAAGGCCUCUGCAAAGAAGGGAGAGAAGGUACCCAAAGGGAAAAAGGGAAAGGCUGAUGCUGGCAAGGAGGGGAAUAACCCUGCAGAAAAUGGAGAUGCCAAAACAGACCAGUCACAGAAAGCUGAAGGUGCUGGAGAUGCCAAGUGA